rnacentral:lncRNA from 1 species
CAGAGGCUACUGUAUUUCUCUCACAACUGGCUUUAGAUAAGGGCCUUGUGCAGAUUCAGCUGGGCUGCCAUGCAAAGGCCUGUUCCUUUAAGUUCUGUUUACUGUAGUGAUACACCUUUAAGUCUUGAAGAAUGAAGAUGAAAUAUUCCAAACUAUGCUGCACAAGAGGAUGUGAACAGAAACAUCUGGACGGAGAAGAUCUUUUUUAUAUUCAGCCAUGCCAAUUGACCUACUACCCUCUCCAUAGCCAAAGGAAUGCCCAAAUUUCCACAGAAAGGCAUUUUUAUAUGAAGAAGCUCAUCCCUGUGGACCUUUCUCUUGAAUGCCUACUAUGAGUCACUCAGCAAGAGAGGCACCCAGCUCCCUCAAGGUCUGCAGUGCCUCGGAGGUAUUCAUACUGAGCUUUCAUCCCCCAGGUCGGUGAUGUUUAGGAUGAUGAGGGUGGUCUGAGUUCACGGGCACCAGAACAGCCUCAGGCUGGCUGGAAGCCAGGUGUAACACUGGGCAGAGGGAUGCCACUCACCUUUCCUCUGGGCUGGGUCCCCCCGGGCAUUAUUUAUAUGACUCCGCACACCUAAAGACCACCCUUUCUCCCUUUUCCUACGCAAAUCUUGUACAUUCUUCCAGGCCCACUUCCCUCCAUGACACAGUCUCUGAACAUAUUAUUCCUCACGGAUGAUCACCUUCUUAACUCCAUCCAGACGUGUGCCUCUGUCUCACUAUUUAGCGUUGUCC